UGGAAUAAACAGCAAGAGCCGAUGAGCUCUGAAGAAAUAAAGGCCAAGAGGUUCAAACCUGGGUGCCUAAAACCGCCUCCUAAAUCCAUGUCUAGUCACCUGACAGGAAGUGGCCUGAUUUUCAAAGAUUCCCAGCACCUGUAGUUCCCAGAGGGAGUUGGAGCUGUUCAGCACCUCUGCUAAAGGGAAGCGAGGCCUAUCAAGAUUAAACAGGCCAUCAGGAUACAAAGGAUUGGUGAAUGGCCCCAUCACACCUUGGAAAUUCUACAUGCAAAGAAGCUCAUCUCAUAGCUAUGUCUACACUGGAAACGGCCAGAGAUGCGCUAAAUUAAGGCAGAGAUCCCCAGGGGUUACCCCUGGGUCCACCCUGAAAGACAUUUUGAAUUGACAGAUUACUACAUCUGUCAUCUUUAGGAGCCAUAGAUGGUAAUGCAUUUGUGUGUAUAUGCUUGCUUGCUUUAACCUGUAAAUAACUGUCUCAUUUCUUUUCCCUAGUUAAUAAACCUUUAAUUAACUUAUUAGAGGGUUGGCUACAGGCAUUGUCUUUGGUGUGAGAACUAAGAUACAAGUUGAUCUGGGGCAAGCGACUGGUCUCUUGGAACUGGGAGAAACCUGAAUAUUUUGUGAUUCUUGGUGUAAGUGACCAUUUAUCAGUUAGUCCAUCUUGCCUGGGUGGCAAGGUAGCCUGGAGAGCAUAAAGGGACUCUCUAACUCUGAGGUAAGACCGUUACAGUGAUCCAGGAGUUCACAUUUGUUCCUGGGCUGGUGAAAUUCAAUUACAGAACAUACCGCUAGCUUGGGGUGUCUGCCCUGGUUUUACCUGUCAGCCCUGAGGUCGGCACUCCUGCUCGUGAGCCACUCCAGGCAGCGUGACAAGAUUUGCACCUGAAAGAUGCCUAAAGCUAAGGCCCCAUGACCCAAAGAAGCCUCUUUUCUUUACACCCUGGAGUCUGGCAGGACAAAGCCUCAGACUCUGGCCUGCACAAUUUUGGCAGUAAAACACUUGUACCUGAAAUCGAGGCAGCGACAGCCCAGAACAUAGAUAUUUCACAAAUGACUGGAUACUUGGACAGGACGUUUUGGAGCUGAGAGAUAGAAACAGCCUCAUUAAAAAUCCAGAGUUAAUGGUGUUCCUCCAGCUAGAUGCUUGCUAGGGAUGGGUAGGUUCCAACACUUCACUGCAGCAUCUUCCUACACCAGCUCCAGGGCUGGCCAUAGCUAUGAAAGACCCUGAGAAAAGUGAGACUGAACCAGUGGCUGUCGCCAUCCCAUCAUUUACCCAGAAUAACCCGGGCUGCCUUCAUCUCACUGCCUCUGAGCUGCAGUGAGUCCCACCAUGGAUGCCUGAUUAUGGGUGAGGAAAAGAAACAGGGUGGAGCCCAAUGAUUCUCUCUGGUUUGUUAAGUCCUCUUAGGUUCCUGAAGAUGAUAUUUCCCACAUUCAUUUUAGCCUUUUCUUUUCCCUUUGAUGGGUGGUAACAUUCCUCUCUAUAUUUCUGAUGGAUUUGAAACCAACUUUUCUCGCCCUCUCUGUGGUAUUGGAGAUAGCACCAGCCCUUGUGCACACUGCUCUGCUACCAAGAUCUUAUUUUCCUGAGCGUCUUCCAAUGUGUUGACUCUGAGCGCCGUUGCUGCUGCUACACGGAUAAGGAGAACAAGUCACUGCCCCGGGGGAGCAUGUUACACAGAGACUCUUACCAGCUGCUGCAUCUGCUG